rnacentral:rRNA from 1 species
ACGAAUCUGGCGGCACGCCUAAUACAUGCAAGUCGAACGGCUCUUCGGAGCAGUGGCGGACGGGUGAGUAACGCGUGGGAACGUGCCCUAAGGUACGGAACAACUGAGGGAAACUUCAGCUAAUACCGUAUGUGCCCUUCGGGGGAAAGAUUUAUCGCCUUAGGAGCGGCCCGCGUUGGAUUAGCUAGUUGGUGGGGUAAAGGCCCACCAAGGCGACGAUCCAUAGCUGGUCUGAGAGGAUGAUCAGCCACACUGGGACUGAGACACGGCCCAGACUCCUACGGGAGGCAGCAGUAGGGAAUCUUGCGCAAUGGGCGAAAGCCUGACGCAGCCAUGCCGCGUGAAUGAUGAAGGUCUUAGGAUUGUAAAAUUCUUUCACCGGGGAAGAUAAUGACGGUACCCGGAGAAGAAGCCCCGGCUAACUUCGUGCCAGCAGCCGCGGUAAUACGAAGGGGGCUAGCGUUGCUCGGAAUUACUGGGCGUAAAGGGCGCGUAGGCGGACAGUUUAGUCAGAGGUGAAAGCCCAGGGCUCAACCUUGGAAUUGCCUUUGAUACUGGCUGUCUUGAGUUCGGGAGAGUGAGUGGAAUGCCGAGUGUAGAGGUGAAAUUCGUAGAUAUUCGGCGGAACACCAGUGGCGAAGGCGACUCACUGGCCCGAUACUGACGCUGA